rnacentral:rRNA from 1 species
CGGGGUGCAGCAGGCGCGAAAACUUUACAAUGCCGGCAACGGCGAUAAGGGAACCUCGAGUGCCAGGUUACAAAUCUGGCUGUCGUGAUGCCUAAAAAGCAUUGCAUAGCAAGGGCCGGGCAAGACCGGUGCCAGCCGCCGCGGUAACACUGGCGGCUCGAGUGGUAACCGUUAUUAUUGGGUCUAAAGGGUCGGUAGCCGGCCGGGUAAGUCUCUUGGGAAAUCUGGCAGCUUAACUGUCAGGCUUUCAGGAGAUACAGCCUGGCUCGAGGCCUGGAGAGGUGAGAGGUACUUCAGGGGUAGGGGUGAAAUCUUGUAAUCCUUGAAGGACCACCAGUGGCGAAGGCGUCUCACCAGAACGGACCUGACGGCAAGGGACGAAAGCUAGGGGCACGAACCGGAUUAGAUACCCGGGUAGUCCUAGCCGUAAACGAUACUCGCUAGGUGUCGGCCACGGUGCGACCGUGGUCGGUGCCGUAGGGAAACCGUGAAGCGAUCCACCUGGGAAGUACGGCCGCAAGGCCGAAACUUAAAGGAAUUGGCGGGGGAGCACAAGGGCGAUUCGCG